rnacentral:lncRNA from 1 species
UGCAUGAAGUGCAUCAUCCAAAACAAGGAUGUAUUCUUUCCUUUCAGGGAAUAUUUACUACAUCCACAAAAUUUUUUCCUUCCUUCCUUCCUUCCUUCCUUCCUUCCUUCCUUCCUUCCUUCCUUCCUUCCUUCCUUCCUUCCUUUUUUCCUUCCUUCAGUGGUGCUGAGGAUUGAACCCAGGGAUUCAUAUACACUAAGCAAGCACUCUAUCACUCCAUCACAAACCUAGUCCCCCCGCCAAUUUUUACCUUUGGAAAAAUAUGACAGUAUAAUUUAUUUAAAGCACACUAUUUUAAAUUGUUCAAUGGAUAUUUACAUAUGCAUCCAUGUAUGUGUGCUACUACUGGUAAAUAUAUAUAUGGCUCUUAUUUGUAUCAGGACAUUGAGUGAGAAUAAAAAGAAGUAGAGGAUGACUCUAGACUGAGGGAAGCCCUGUGUCAGGCACCUGCAGGGCCCCUCAUCCAGGCUAUCUAGUUUGAUAUUUGGAUAGGCACAAUGAGGUCCAUUAAUUGUCAAGGUAGCUGAGUAAUUUGUCCAUGGUCACACAGUUAGACAGAAUUUGAAACUAGGUCUCUUUGGCACUGUUAGACAAUUGCCAACAAACCCUGGUAUACUUGCUUAACUUGGGCUUCCCUGACCUCAGAGCCUGAGAUAUUUUAUUUGAAAAGUGAUAGCACAGAGGAAGACUGAGGCACAAGGACAGCUGUGAGACAGGGAAGGAGGGAAGAGCUAUUGGUUUGGCCACUACUGCAGAUAGCUUCUGGACCCCUUUGAGGAGCCCUGUACAUGGCAUCUCAAUAGUGCUUUCUGGAAGACCAAGGCAGGCACUAUGCAUCCAUUGCUUCCGUCAUCUGUUGGUCGAGGGUGGUCCCAGGUCAUUAGCUCCCCUCUGACAUCUGGAUUGUAAUGUGCACAUACCAGGCAAUUUCCUGUGGGCAUAUUGCAUGCACUGGACAUGGAGAAGUCCUGGGACAGAAAGCAACAGGUAUGUGGUGGAGUCCCAAGUAAGACACAAUUAGAUUGCACUUGUGUAAAGCUGGACAAAGACUACACGACCCCCUUCCCCCCCCACACACACAUACACCUAGAGCUGUGGCUGCAGUAGAAGACGGGGCUGAGAGGAGAGGAAGAGGUGUGGGAGCAGUAUCCAGUAUACAAACCAAAAGGGUUCUGGUAAUGUAGACCCAGAUUGGGAAACAGUUUUCCAGUAACAUGCCUCUUCUUGUGGCAGAGAUUUCAACCUGAACCCACAUCUAUUCUUCUGCUGGAGUUCAUGUCUGGGCAUGUUUGAGAAAUUAAUGGGGCAGACCUAAGAGAGUCUAUUUGUAUGCAUUUGUGUGCAUGACUUCUUUGUUUUUUCCUGAGGGAAGGGAAAGACAUUUCUAUGUCUAAGAACUUGGAAAGAGAUACAGGGGAAAUAGAAGGGCCAAGUGGUAAGUACUGCAUAGCAAGGCCUGAACUCAAUGGAAAAAAGCAGCUCAGGCAGAAAGGGAAUGAUCUAUUUUAUAAGGGAUCUGAUGCCUUGAUAUCCAGCAGCCUAAGCUCUUUAAAAACCCAGGUGAUAAAGUGUGAUCUAGAAGCCGGGGAGUUGGCGCUCUUCCCACUUCUGCAUGGUUCUGUAGAGAAGAUGGAAUGUUUACAAGCAAUAAACACAGUGUGGGUACUUGCAAGAUUGUUGUUCCAUGUGCUCUGGUUUCCCUGUAUGUUUAGAGACUAAGGAAGAGUUGUUAGGGAUGUUAGCAACUAUCAUAACUGGGGAACUGAACCAGCCUUCAGAGAUGGCUCAGGGGUGGUCCAAGCAGUGGGGGACAGGAAGAAGGGUUGACAAGUGAGCAGAGCAGGAUGCAGGGGUAGCUAGCACUAGGUAGCCAUUUAAGAUGGAGACCCAGUCAUGGGAACUGGGAAAGGGGUUGUAUCAGAGUAGAAUAAAGUAAUAUUCAAGGCCCUGAAGAAACAGCAUAUGGAAUAGGAAUCCAAGAUGUAGCUCAGGAAGGCAUGGGGGCGGAGCCAAAUAUAAUCUAAAGCAGAUGUAAAUAUAAGGCAACCAGGGCAGAAUCUGGUUACGGAAAACACCCAGCCUUGGGAUGGACUGGUCUGAGGCUCCAUCUGCUUUCUCUGCCUGGAGUGUGUCUGAAAGGUAAAAAGGCUGUUUACUAGUUAAACGGGCAAGUGGGCAACAGGGUAAUGAGUCAAACAGAUCUUCACAGUUAUCAAAAAGUUCCCUGUGUCUGAAUCUGCUAACCAGUAACAGGGAUCUGGUUAUUAAAUUAAAGUUUGUUUGCAACAGGGCUUGUAAGAAAGGACUUCUUCUGUUGAAAGAACUGCUUUCUUUUUUCUUUUUUUUUUUUCAGAAUCUCCCAAUUUCCCAGAGAAGUCAGCAUGUGACCUAGUCUACUCAAUCAGAAUAAUCCAUCCUCAUGGCUUGGGAUAGGCAGGGAACCCUAGAAGGCUCAAUCAGAUUAUGUCCAGAUUUGCUAUUUAGGUGCUUAGUGAGAAAAUAGGGCCUUCCCUCAUUUGGGGAUCACAAGCUAUAAAGAUAAUUUAGAUUAAAAUUGCUUCCUGUUCCCUUUUCCAGAUGCAUGGGGAAAAGCAUGUGUAAAAGAGAGAAUGAGUCCAAUAUUAGGAAAGAGUCCCAAAUGAAGAGAGAGAUGAGGAUUGACUACAGAGAGACAGGGUCCUGAGGUCUUGGACCCUGAAUCCAGCCAUGCCUGAAACCAAACAAGCCCUGUUCUUUCAUGAACCAAUAAAUUGAUUUUAUUGAAGCCAGUUUUAAGCCAAGUUCAGCUGAGUUUCUCAAGCUUGCAAUGAAACGAGAUCACAUGAAUACAUUUGCCUUCUUAAGAUUUCACAGCAGUUAAUAGCUGCUGUGUCCACUUACAGCUAGUCUGAACUUUAGAGGUUGCCUGGAAAACACUUGCUCAAUUCUAGUCUCUGUUGCUCUUCACCAGGACACUGACCACUUGAGAGCAUGAAUGGCUAGUGCUCCCUCUCUGGCAGAAGCCAGGUGAUAUCAGACCCGUGUCACUGCAUAGCACUGCUUUCAAUGUAUACUUAUUCUUUGGAGAGACUGAGCAUACGUGGUCUUUUCAGACUGAGGAUAAAAUUGCCAGCCCUCUCCUCUUUGUAUCACACCUAUAAUUCAAAUUCUGACCUUUCUCCGGAAACUGGAUGCUGGUUUUUAUUUUCUGUUUGAGGGCUCAAUGCUCAGCUCACACUCAACAAGUCUGAAACAGCACUCAGCACCCUCUGGUGCUAUUGAUGGCAGUCCUACUAUGCCGGUCACCUGCCCUAAAGCAGUUCAGGAGAGGCCAACUCAAAAUAUGUCCCUUUGGUGUAUCAGUUACUUUUUGCUGGAGGCCCUUGAGAAAGAUGCAAGAAGAGCUUUCUGACCUUCCACCUUUCUUACCUAAGAAGAUAAUGUCCCCUGAUCUAGGGCCUCUCCCUGUGCCAGUAAGAGAAGAGCAUCCUUAUCCACAAAGAUUGGGGAUCAACUCUGACAUGGAUCUGUAUGAAUUUACUAAAAUGGCCCUCAUCUUGCACAAUCCCCCAUAUAUUACCUAGUGACUUCCCCACAAUUUCUUAGGACCAGUGUGGCAUCCUUGUUAUGGUGGUUGAAGGUAGAGGAGAAAACAGCUUUCUUUCUCUUUUCCCACAGCAGGGAAUCAGACAACCGCAACAUUAGCUUCCCCAGUUUCCCUUGCAGCUAUGCAUGACUUGAGUUCUGGCCAAAGAGAGUAAGGAAGGUGUGACAGGGUGGAAGCUAUGGGAAAGUGUUUUAAAAGUAGGAUGUGCAGGAAUGCUCUCCUUGGGCUUCCUGCCUCCCCCUUUUUCUUCUUUGGGAAUGCACAAGAAUACUCAUGGGCAUAGCAGCCAUCCUGGCACCAUGAGACCCUGAGAAUAAGGAUAUGUUCACAGGAUGGCAGAGAACACAGACAGAAAGAACCCUGUUUCCUUGAUGAUGUCAUCUGACUACCAUGAAGCUGUGGGCUAUUUUUCCCCACACUCCUUAUUGUACAAGACAAAACCAAAAAAACAAAACUCUACUUGAGUAAUGUCAUUAUUAGGUUUCCUAUUGAUUGCAGCUGAAUCAAAUGCUACAGUCAUCUGUUAGGAAUAUUAAGUGUAAUUCUAAAGAAACAGAAUUUUUCUAUAAGCACUUUUUAUAAGGAAUUCAGGGGAUGCUGUAUCAGAAAACCCUCUCCUUUGGCUGUAAGUAUCCAUACUCCUGGAGGCUCUAUUCAGUCUCUUCCUGUCUUGGUUCCCUUUGUCUUCACUUUGUGUUGGAUAAUUAUCAAGUAUAGAUUAGUGAUAUGAUGUAUUGCUAACUGAUGCUUUGUUGUAUAUUACACAUCCCCAAUACUAUUUAAAGUGCAUUUCUUAAGUAUGGGUCAGUGACAUGUACUGUCACUGAUUUGUUGUGGACUUAAGCUAUGUAUCUCCAGCAGGCCUUCAAGUGCCUUGCAGGAUGUGGCUAUAUUUUAUGCUCUCUCUCUCCCAGAGUGCCCAGGCUGGAAAGAAUCGCACAGUGGGUUGGUGCUCAGGCCUGGGACCCUUGUGUUUGAAUCCUGGC